rnacentral:lncRNA from 1 species
GUUCCUUUUUAUAUUUAUGUAUGCGUAGAUGUAUAUAUGAAAGAUGGAACACAGAUUUCAUUGAAUAAAUCUGAGAUCUCCAGGUGCAGACGUUGGAGUAGUCGGUGCCAGCACCCCGUGUUUUCCUUUGCUGCCGAUUUUGCUUGGAUCCGGCUCAAAAACUGAGAGAGUCUCGUGGUUUUGUUUACACUGAAUGGGGAGCAUAGGAACAGAGCCAUGGGGCCGCCUUUCAUUAAUAUACAGUGAGGAUUUUGUCUAAAUUACUGCUAUGAAUUUCACAGUACACGCUUUCAAAAGCAGUCUCAGGUGGCCUGAUGAAACGCGAUAGCGCCUCUGCAAACAGAUCCUCUCUCUCUCUCUCUCUCUCUCUCUCUCUCUCUCUCUCUCUCUCUCUCUCUCUCUCUCUCUUUCUUUCUUUCUUUCUUUCUUUCUUUGCAAGGAGGGUGUGUGCGCCCACGGGAAGCCCCCAAAACGCUUCGCUCCUGGAGAAGGGAAACGCACUUGGGUUCUGCGCUCUGUCCCCUUCUCCCCCCUUUCCACGUACUUAGUUCUCGCCUCGCUCCCCACCCCCCGCCCCACCCCAUCCGCCCCUUCCCUUUGCAGAGUGUGAUUGUUUUGUCUGGAAAAAAAAAUCCAAAGUAUAUAACAAGGGGAGAACAGUUAGUGCUGAUUUUCAUUUGCAUACAUUUUCAUAUAUUUUGGUGAAAAUAAUAGACUAGUGCGAGCUGGGCUUAGAGGACUCAGUGUAAAGGGAAGGCUUAGGCUCUGACGGUGCUGGAGAGUUAAGAAUGUGCCUUCCCUCCACCCCCACCCCAGGCACCUUAUUUAAAAAAAAACAAAAAACACCUUCUUUUAUUUAAAAAAAAAAAUCUAACCUUGGAAGUUUGCUCGGGACAGCAGAGGAAGAGGGAUAAAGUGCCUGGAUAUGUGCAUUCAUCGAGUGUCCUGAAGAUGCUCCUUCUGACUGGAAGAGCUGAAGAGACAAGACUUUUCACUAAGUGAUAUUUUUGAUGCAGUCUAAGGAUUUAUCUCAAAAUCCCAGUCACAUUACUUCCUGAGAACAAAAGGUCUGCUGAAGUUGCCUGAUGAAAAGUCCAGCCUUCCAGAAUCUUCCAUUCUACAAGUGCUACCUACAGUGACUCUGAGAGAUUGAUUAUUUAUUACGGAGAUGGGAAGAAAAGGAAACGACCAGCCCGUCACACGUCCCUGGCCCAGAUCUGCCAGUCUCUCUCUUCCCGGUCUCAGGAAACUGUGCUGACAGUCCUCGAGGUGCGGUGGGGAGCCCCUGGCAACCACUCACCUGCUUUCUGUCUGUGUGGAUUGACCUGUUCUGGAUAUUUCCUGCAAAAGGAAUGCUGAAUUUUAGUACCGGGCUUCUUUUCCUUCCUGUAAUGUUUUUGGAAUCCAUCCACAUUGUUGAGUGUAUCAGUGUAUCAGUACUUCACUUAUUGUACAGCUGAGUAAUUCCAUGGCACUUGUCCCUGGUUUUGUAAGUAAGGUUUUCCUGGACAAAGCUGUCCCCAUUACUUUACAUACUGUCUACCACUGCUUUUGCAUUUAAUGGCAGACCUGGGUAGUUGUCAAAGAGAACAUGCAGCCUGCAAAGACUUAAGUCUGUACUGUCUAGCCCUUUACUGAGAAGAAUUGCAGAUCUUUGCUAUAGUAAUAAUUUUGGGGAACUUUGUCAUGAUGCUGUGCAUGGAAAUUCUAAAGUUUCAAUAGGAUUUAUUUAUUUUUUAUCAUGAUAUAAUUUUAAGGUUCAGCUGAAGGAAGAAAGGUUACACAACUUUUGGAAAGGGAGAGUUGUUAGAGGUACCUGCCCUCCAGGAUUGUGCAGUACAGCCUGGACUGUCCUGGCUCAAGGAGGUGGAACUCAUGCAGGAGUAGACAGACCAUAGACAGGACUGGGAAGAUAGGGAAGGGACCCAUAACAGAUGUGGAAGAAAUCUGGCCAGACUGGAAGGACGCUGGACAAUUGGGAGUGACACCAGCCAUGUGGAAGAUGGGUUGCUGGAUCUGCCUCUACUCUGAAGUGAAUUCCAGAGGAAUAAAAUACUUCAGUGUGUAACAAAGGAGUUGCACAUACCAGGAGAAAAUAUUGACAUCCAUCUUACUAAUCUUGUAGGAGAAAAAUUCUUUUAAGCUUCACAGAAAAAGGCAAUGCAAAGCAAAAAAUUGAUCAAUGUGGCUUUUCAAUAAAGUGGCCUAAAAUGUAAAACUUGUCCAUGGCAAAAGCACUGUAAGUAAAACUUAUAGGAUGGAACCAGAUUAACCUGGGAAAAGUAUUGUUUUGUUAUAGAUAAAGAGUUACUGAGUCCAAUAAUAUAAUUUAUUUGUCUCUUGCAAAUGAAUGAGAAUCUGAAGAGUGCACAAUAAAUAAGGGAGAAACAUGGUACAAACCGGGACAAAGGCAACUCACCAGCAAGUGCACUAUGGUGGGUGUUCAACCUUGUAAAUAAUUGGUCUAAAUUUUAUUGAUGUAAAUUUACACAUGUCUUUUUUUGUUGUUUGUUUGAGUGACAAGGUGAAAAAAAUUGAGAAACCCCAGUGACAAUAAGGUUGUGGGAAAAGUGGCUUUUAAGACUCGGUUGCAGUAACUCUGUUUGUAGGGAAAUCUGAUUUCAGAUCAUAGUUUGAACUGCACAGGCCUUUUUUUGGUAUCGGGGAUUGAACUUGGACCUUGCACUUGGGAAGCAGAUGCGGAGCCACUGAGCUAAAUCCUUGGCCCUACACAGGCCUUUUGAUCCUGCAUCAUUGUGCCUUGGGCCUUCAUUUUUAGAAACUAAGUUUUCUUUCAGCUGUGAAAAGCUAGAAACUAUCUUGUCUCAAUGUUCAUCAGUAGAUUUGAUAAAAGAAUGUGUUGGACAUCCCUAUAAUGGGUCCCAAGGAGCCACUGAAAAUGAGGCAGAAUUUCCAACAGUCCUAUCUAUUGUAAGUGUCCUCCUUGUUCUUUACCAAUCUUGGGAUUUUGCUUGGCUUCCUCUUUAAUUGAGAAACAUUUUCCCCUGGAUUCAUUAAGGUGCAAACUUAGUGAAAAUGAUGGACAUUUGGAGAUUUUACUUAUUUAUUUUUACUAGCUAAUGAUUUUACAGGUAUUACACUUAACACUAUAGUAAUAAAGACUUCACACAAAUCCAUGCUUCAUAGCCAUGGACUUAAGCUCGUGAGUGUAUGUGUUGUGUGUGCAUGCAUAUGUGCAUCAGCAUGCUUGUGUACCCGUGUGUGUCUGUGUGUGCACAUGUGCACAUGUGUCUGGUUGUUUGUGUGUGAUCCUGGAGUGCCAGCAUCCAGCUGAGUAUGCAGCCAGCUGGAGGACUUGCUCUGGUUCUCUUUUAAGACAGUCUCAGGGGAUUAAUAAAGCAAGUAAGGAUAUAAUCUGUCUCCUCCAGGAGAAGACCUUUCUGCCCGUAGGAUCCCUUGUUUUUUGAAUACAGCAGUGUGGAAUGUGGAUGCCAAGGGAAAAUUUGUUAUUUGGAGACAAACCUUACAGUGUGACUCAACCCUUUGGAAAUCCCUGUGCACCUUUCCCUCUGUUCCUGGUAACUUAUUGGCCUCUUCCACCUCUGGCUUCUAUUGCUCCUGCUGACUGUCCCUGCCUGCCUGCUGCUGCACUUUACCUCCAUCCUCCUUCCAUCCUGAGUCUCUGGCACAGAAGGCAGCAUGUGUCCCCUUCUGUCUCACAGACACAGAAGCUAUUAAAGCAUAGGUUACCUAGAGCAGUGGUUCCCAAACUUUUUCUGAUCACCCUUAUUACUAAAAUAUUUUGGCAUGAACACCCAAGGCAUACAUACCUAUAUAUUGUAUGUUCCCACUAUUGUGUGAAUUUAUUGUAUACAUUAUGCAAUAUAUAAAAAGGUGAAAGUUUAAAAGGAUGAGAUUUUAAAAAAGAUAAAAAUUCGAAUCUUUUCUCCAUGUACUUAACAAAGCUCCUUUGGUGGCUGAUAGACCAGAGAUGGGAAGGACAUUGGAAGGCUCCCUUUAGGGGGCUCAAUGGCACUGCAAACUCUGUCCUCCCCAAGGGCCAGGAUUCCUUCCCCAGCAGUUGGCCCAGGUCCUGCUGUCCACUGUGCACCAUAGGUGUGGCUGCAAAUGACCAGAAGUCUUUUCUGCUGCACUUUCUUUCCUGGCCUCUGCUCAUUCACACACUUCCUGCUACUCUCUGAGUUGCCUUUGGGUCCACUGUCUCCUGGUGAGGACUUGCCUGGCUCACCAAAUCCUAAGUCACACACACAGGUCCAACCCCUGUGUCUCCCGGAUGGGCCGAGGCCACAGCCUCAGCCAUUUUAAACUUGGGGUUCUCCCCACAGCUGUACACACAAUGGCUGCUCAUCACUAAGGACCUUGGUCAUGAACACCUGUUCUGAGGUCUCAUGUAGUUUACCAACUCUUAAAUGGCACAGAGAAGCAAAGAUGCUGCAUACCACAUGUGUGGGAGAGAAAAGUCCAUCCCUGAUGGGUGGCCUCAAGAUACCAGUUACAUGGGGACAGAGAGUUUGCAACCAGUCCAAAGUCUGACACCAAGAGCAGUGCCCGGCCCCGGAACAGUUUUUUUGGAGGAGUGAAUGACUUGGAUCAGUACACUCAGGACCUCUGCCAUGCUUGCUUCCGUGUGGGGUAUGAAGAAACAUUAUAAUGCACAUCAGGGAGAUUUUUCCUCCAAACUGGGAGACAAAAUGUA